GGUGAGCGUCCGUCGUUGUCCUUUGACGAUGCUCUCGAGACUUCGUCUCAGACCUAAGCACCGAUGAUCGAAGGUGAGCAAAGUCUCGAGUGCGUCGUCGUCGGCCGUUGUACGACCUCGGCAUU
rnacentral:precursor_RNA from 10 species